CCCUUAGCCAAGCUGUUGAUGCGCUUAACCCCAGAUUAAAUACCUUCUCACUAAAGCAGAAUUAUUUGUUCUCAAAUGCUGUGCCCAUGUCUGUGAAACAUUAAUUUUGUUCCUGCAGAAAAUGCUUUGAGCUCACAUGUAACUGAUGUGAUUGUCUGAAGGUGAAGAGACUGUCAAUGGUUUAGGACAGAUGCAGAAAUGAUAAACAGGGAUUAUCCCAAAGGUGGUGGGAGAUGUGUACAACCCAUUUUUAGCACUAAAGUGGCAACUAAUAUGAAAAGUGGGUAAGACUCUUAGGAAUUCUGUGGAACAAGCUUUCUUCUACAUCAGCUCUUAACUUUGGUUCCUGGCACGCUAUCCACCUGCUGAGGCUCAGGCCACUGAAGUGCUGCACACAAAGCAGAUGUCCUGGGGAGCAAGUUUACAGCCUGCAAGUGACUGGAAACUCUUCUGAGAUCUUAUUUCAGUUUGGAAUAAAAUCAAGACGUCGUUACUCUUGAUUUGUCUGAAGUUUCAAGUUCUUACUGCAUGAGUUCAGAUGGAAUCCAGACUUGCUCCCCACCUGGUACGUCGGCAGUUCCACUGAGCAGUACUGAGAGCAGCCCUUUGUUAUUCCUCUGCCUUCUGCAUCUGCUUUCUCUUUGGGCCUGUCACAGACACAAGUGUGGAAUGCAGGGGGCAGGGGGUUGUCUUUUUAGCAGUCUAGUGGCAAACAGGAGGUUAAAGGCUUUUUUGUGCAUUUUUGUGCUUCUCAGAAGUGAAAUGGAGAACCUAAAUUCCUGUCUGAUGCACUUGAUGUGCAGAAAUGUCACAGUCCUUGGUCCUGUGCGUCCCUUUAAGGUGCUAAUCAUCAGCAAUUAUCUUUUUUUAAUAUAUAUAUUUUUUUUGUAAAGACGUCUGUUACACUUUUAGGUUACUAAAUAUUACCUGCAUCACCUGAGGCUUGUCUUUCAUGAAAAUACAGUUUGGUUUGUCAAAUUCAAGCUACAGUUUAUUCCAUGUUUCUUGCAAGUGAUUUGUCUAGGCAUGUAUUGCUCUGAUCUAGUGCAGUGCUGUGUUUUAUGAUACCUCAUGCUAAUAUAUUACAUUGCAGUCACAGUUAGUAUUUAAAGCAAAAAUUGUUUUUGUUGUUACUGUUCUAAAAUUUGUGGGUUUGUUUCCAAAAUGCAGUCAUUUGAACCUUUAUUGAGGUGUCUCGGGAAACUGUAUUGCAGGUUAUUUCAUGUACGUGGUCAGGAAACUCAGUAAUUCACUGUAUCUAUUCAUGUGAAUCUGCUGACAGAGUUUGGGGGUGAUUGACAGAAGAAAAUAGAUGACAUUUUGGUUUUUUGUUUCUAAUUUUAUGAAAAUCCCAAGUUUCUAUGAAAAUAUUUUUCUGAGAUAAAUGGCUGGUAAUGACAGGAAGAAGGAAAAAACUCCAAUCAAGAUCCAGUGUGAUUCAGGAGAUCUGUUACUAUUCUAGAUCCCUUGGAGAAAUGGAAUCAUUAAAUAUGUUUUAACUCAAACUCGGAAUUAUAAUCCUUUUCCCCAUACUUUUAUGACAUCUCUUAAGAAGCAGUAGUUUAAAUCCAGUUUAAUAAUUGUGACAUUAAUUUAAUCAGUAAGGAGAGACCUCACAAAAUUUACCCAUGGAAUUGCAACUGAAGCUUUGAGAGAUGUUUGCAUUGUGAACCAACACAAGUUGCAAAUUGUGACUAAGGUAUUUUGGUAUUUCAUUUAAAGCAGCUACCUCAGAGAUCAAUAUCAGCACGGCUCCAAGAAUCGUGGAGUUUGUCAGGUAGGUUUUGUGGGCUAUACUGAGUCUCAUUGUCUGGUGCUCUGCAAUCCACUUAUUAGCUGGUUUAAUUGGCUAAAGCAGCACCCAGCACAUCUGCUAGAGCUCUGAGGUGGAUUUUAAAGCAAAAUGUAGCCAUAGCUGGAGCUAGGUCAUGUCAUCACCCCUUCAGGAUCACAGCACUUUCUUCUCCUUCCUGUAUUUCAAGGUUACAUUAAUUACACAAACUGAUUGAAUAAAACUUUCAUGGGUUAAUUUUUGGAGAUUUGU
ensembl:lncRNA